rnacentral:lncRNA from 1 species
CAGAAAUAUAGGAAUAAAGGAAAAUUGUAAAGGGUUUAUACCAUUUGAAAGCAAUCAGCCUAAUCCAGAAUGUGGGAAAUUAUAGAAAACAAUCUGGUUUCUUCAACAAAUCAAUGUCUUUAACGGGGUGGGAGAUUGCAAUAGAUUAAAAGAUUUUAGAGAUAUAUCAACCAAAUAUAGCCUCAUUAUGAUUCUGACUGGACAAAAAAAGACCUUUUUGAGACACGGAGGAAUAAGAGGUGGACAGUAUUAGAUGGUACCAGCACCCUCCUUUCUAAAUCUACAAGGUGAUCGUGUUAGUAUGAUGCGGCCUCGCUGUCCUGGCCCUAUCUGAUUUAUCAGAAUGUUUAGCAAACCUCACUUGUGUCAUCUCACUGAUGUUAUCCAUGUUCUCCAAGACAAAAGUGGCCGGACAGGAUUGUCAGCUACAGGAUCUUAAAUGGUAGCUCAUCCACCAGUAGCCAAGAAGGAUGCUUGUAAUGAUGAACUACCACUGUGCUGGAGCAUGAGCAGUAAGACGGCAAAAACAGAAGGCAACGAGAGCAAGAGGACACUUUCUAAAAAGACAAAUAUCACUUCAAACAAUAAAGGCACAGCUCCACAAAACAUUUAUUCAGCAAAGUAACUAUACCAACAGCACAUACUGACAUCGCAACAAACAAUUCUGCAAAGAUCAUCCCUAAUGAACAAGGAAUACUAGCCCCACCGGGGAGGUGGGAAUUCACUCUGACUGGGAGGGCUCCACAGAGGUAGCUGCUUACCCCGGUCUUAAUAGAUGAGGAGGAUUUUACUGGAUAGAUCAAGGAGAAAGCAAAUGUAGGGAGAGGAAAUAGCAUGUGUGGAAGUCCAGAUUCUAAAACAGAAAGAUGUGUCCAAGGACCCUCGACCAGGACUAUGUGGCUGCAUGUGGCUGCAGUGACGUGAGAGAAGCUGGGGUGAGCCUGGGAAGAGUGGCUGGGGUCAG